rnacentral:lncRNA from 1 species
GGGGGGGGGGCUAACCCCUAAGUCAAAAAGGGGAUCUAACCUAAGACCUAAAAAAUCUGCAAACCUAGAUCCCUACCAAGAAAUCCGCAGCAAAGACUAAAGAGAGACCCCCCCUGAUAUUUCAUCUUCUUCGAACACCCCCACCCCAGUCGUUACAGCCAUCAACACACACCAUCAGGAACCCAAAACUCACAGUCGUCGAUCCUCUCAACCCAGAACCGCCGCUCACACUCUCCUCCAUCUCCAACACCCAACGAUACACAGACCUUGAAGUUUCAGCCGAUUUUCAUGGAUGGAAGCUAAGCUUCUUCAUCUUCUCCACAACCUAAAGCUAACACACAAUAGAAAGAAACAUCGACCCCUGCUCUCUUCAACCUCAUAGAAACCAGCCCGCCGUACAACCACCCUCCUCAUUCUGCAAUGGAACAGUAACUAAAAGGGAGGAAACUAGUUUUUUUUCAUCUUCUCUAAUACACUCAGGGUGAGGGAACGACACUGAGAGUCAGAGAGUUCAAUAAAAAAUGUUCAAUUUCAGCCGAUGGAGUAGAGUCACUACCAGGACGAAGUGUUUCAAGAUCCGAGGUUGUCGUUCGUAGGUUCCGAUUUAAGGCUAUUGUUGCGUCUGUUUUUUGAUCAAGAUCGAGUUGCCGGGAUUUUGCAUUGCUAUAAACAAGUUAGAGUUUCUCAUUUUUACUUCACUAUUAAUUUCAUGGAUUUCGAUCUCACCUCAUAGCUCUACUCUUUCCUUGCUCUUUUCGUUUUUCUCGAUUUUUCUCAUAUAAAUGGUCCAGUUUAUUUGUUCAUCUUGCUCUAAUUGUUGUUUUGUAAUUAAGUAUUGCCGUGGAUGUUUGUGUGGUAGUAGUAAUUGCUAAAGGAUAUAACAUUAGACAUAAGCAAAGAAAAUGAGUUGUUUCUCUGUUUUUGAACGAGAAUUUGGACCUCUUGAAAGGAAAAUCGAAAUUACCAUGAUAAUCCUGAUUACAAUGUCAUGACAAUGUAUUUUGUUUCUUGUGAAAUCUGUGUGAAAGGCAGUGUUUUCUCCUGUGAUUUAGUAAAUUCAAACUUAUUUCCAUGUUGUUCGUUGGCACUGUGUCUUGAUUGUGUUGAGUGAAGCAUUUUUGUUGAAGUCCGUUUGAUUUGUUCAAAUACGAUUUUGGCUUGUCUUGUCUUGAAAUUAAGCUAUAAGGUAUACCAAUUGUAUAAUUUUGUGAAAGUAGGAAGUUUUCCAAACUUAGUUGCAUAUCGUGGAUGUAAAUUUAGUCAUAAACCAUAGGAUAAAUUAAUUUAUGAAUAUGUUAGUAUGCUUUUAGACCCGCUUUUAAUCUAUCACCGUGAUUGUGUACAUGUUCGCGUGACAUAAUUACGAUUCUAAAAACCAAUUCGGAGUAUGCGUUCGCGCAACUUUGACGAAACUUUCUCAGUAAUAAUAAAAUUGUUAUUAAUGUAGUCCGCUUUAAUAUUGUUCUUUAAAAAUGGACCGAGGUGUGCCAUCCAUAAUUAAAUUGAUAUGGCCCUUUUAUUAUGUAUUGUCAAAAUGAUAUUUGUAGUUUGCUUUAAGCACGUUUAAUAUACCAACAUCGUGGUUGUGUACACGUCCGCAUGACAUAAUUACGAUUCUAAAAACCAAACCAGAGUAUGCGUUCGCGCAAGUUUGGCCAAACAUUCUUAAUAAUAAUAAAGCGUCAUUAAUUGUGGACACGUACGUGUGACAUGAUUUUUGACGCGCCAAAUAAAUGGGUACACAUACACGUGACAUGUUUCAAGAUAGUUUCUUAAUUAAAAAAGGAAAAUACACAUAGGUUCUAAAAUGAGUAAUUAGACAAUUUGAUUAAGCCAAGUAUAAUCAAAGCGACCGUGCUAGAACCACGGAACUCGGGAAUGCCUAACACCUUCUCCCGUGUUAACAAAAUUCCUUACUCGGAUUUCUGUGUUCGCAGACCGUAAUUAGAGUCAAACUUCCUCGAUUCCGGAUUUUAAAUCGGUGACUUGGGACACCAUAAAUUAUCCCAAGUGGAAACUCUGAAUUUUAAAUAAAAUAAUCCCGUUUUGAUUGUCACUUAAAUUGGAAAAAACUCCCUUAAUACCCUUCGGUGGUAGAAAAAGAAGGUGUGACAGCUCUGGUGACUCUGCUGGGGACAAGAACCCAGAACUUUUGGUUCAGGAUUCAAGAAUUCGAGCUUUUUAAUAUGAUUUUAUUUGGCUUUAUAUGUUGUUAAUAUUGCUGUAUUUUUGUGAACCUAAUGUGCUAAUUGCUAUUUAUUUACCAUUUCGAUAUUGUUUGAAUUAUAUUAAAAUACGUUCUUACACCACCCCUUUGAGUCUUCUAAAAAUGGUGCACACGUUCGUGUGACCUACUUUUCUAUUAGAAGUUAUACCAAAUAGAACGAGGCUGGGCCAGCAACAAGACCGUGUAGACUUUUGUGCUCCCAGUACGUUACCCCCUGUUCGGCUCGAGUUGUCCACUUGGGUAAGCCAAGUAUAGAACAUAAUCCCAGGUUUAAACCUAGAAUAACGUAACCUCAUGCCGUAUCCCUAGUAGGAACGUUUGUUUGCAUCACGUGCAUUUGACUUAGGGGACUCAACAUAGGGGUUGAGUUCGUUUAGGACAAGUGUACCUAAAAUAAAAGAUCAUCUUGAUGCAUCCUAUAUGCUACAUGUUGCUAUCUUCAAGGGUAAAAAGGGUCAUUUGGUGGACCAAUGAUGGUUGAGGGUAAAUGAGAAAUAAAAGAGGGUGAAGUGUGAAAAUAAAGCAAGUAGGGUCCAGUUAUGUUUUUCUUUCACAUUUUUCUUAAGAAAAAGACAAAAAAAAUGAAUGAAAAAUCCCAAAAAAGAUUUGCAUUUUCCCAUCAUUUUCCGAAAAAAGCGAAAAAAGGGAUAAGAAAAAUCCAAAAAGAGUUUACAUGUUUCAUUAUUUUUCAAAAAAAGACAAAAAAACAUAUUUUCUCUAAAUUAGUUAUUUUUUAAUUCUCGCCCGUAUCUAAUCUGGCAGAACUACAGAUACCCGAUUCUCGUCUUUCGGGGCGUGAUACGUGGGCAACCCACAUAGGAUCUGGUCUUCCUAGUAAAUCUUAGGUUUUUGGCUUUGCGAGGUCUUAAUUAAAUUUUACACUUAUAGCGACCUUUUGGCCACAUAAGCCGUUUUGCAAAAAUAGCCCCAAUCAUGUCUUGCAUGUGUCCAUAAGGGAGUAUUAUUGUCUCACAUAGCGUUCUAGGUCUUUAACUUUAUUUGGUCUUAAUUUUCUCAUACAUGUGUGGGUCUACUUAUUGGAGUUUGAGCAUGACAGACACCCCGGGACCAUCCAGUCAGGAUCGCUUAUUCAAGAGUUGCUUAAGAAGAUUUUCAUUUUCAUUUUUUAUGUUUUGAGUUUGUUUUUCUUUUUAUGUCGUCGUUUACCUUCUAGUUUUGUACAGUGUAUAUGGUGAAAUCGGAGGAGUCUAUUUCUCGCCACUAAGGUGCAUUCGGGGGGUCAUAUCAGUAUCUCGAGGCUGCAGGACUACGAUCGAGCUCCCUCUCCCGAGGUUCGCCCGCGACCCAAUAAAGGUCUCGUGGAUGGGGAAUUCCCGAGGCAAGCAGCCAGCAUCAGCAAGAUCUAACAUCAUGCCUAGCCGUCCCAUCCCCGUAUCUUUACAUUUAAUGCACUCUGUACUAUAUUGUAUUCCCUCUCCUAUAUAAAGGGAAUCCAUGCCACUUUGUAAAGGGCUGAUGUUGCUCCAACUAUUCUCCACAAGAUCAAUAAUAUCUCUCUCUUUCUCUUCUCUCUAACUUGCUCGUUCUCAUUACCUCGAGGCCGCUCUUAACGUUUAUUGCUUUCAUAUUUGUUCUUCGUUUAUUGCUAGGUAUUGGCCAUAAAGAGCCUUGCAUGAUCAUAUCUCAACUGUUAUCCCAUCCCCGACUACCCCCGAUAGCUCGAGACCGAGCCGGAUAUCGG